rnacentral:rRNA from 1 species
AGUGAACGCUGGCGGCAGGCCUAAUACAUGCAAGUCGAACGGCAGCACAGUGGAGCUUGCUCCAUGGGUGGCGAGUGGCGGACGGGUGAGGAAUACAUGGGAAUCUGCCCAGUCGUGGGGAUAACGUAGGGAAACUUACGCUAAUACCGCAUGCGCCCUUCGGGGGAAAGCCGGGGACCGUAAGGCCUGGCGCGAUUGGAUGAGCCCAUGUCGGAUUAGCUAGUUGGCGGGUAAAGCCCACCAAGGCGACGAUCCGUAGCUGGGUCUGAGAGGAUGAUCAGCCACACUGGAACUGAGACACGGUCCAGACUCCUACGGGAGGCAGCAGUAGGGAAUAUUGGACAAUGGGCGCAAGCCUGAUCAGCCAUGCCGCGUGAGUGAAGAAGGCCC